rnacentral:lncRNA from 1 species
GCCAAGACUCAGACUUGCUUCUGGGCUCUGUGCUCAUUUCCAUCUCUUCCUAGGAGCCAGUUAUUUGGCAAGAAUGUAAUUGCAGGCAAGCAGCUGGAAGGAAAGAACAUUUUGGAAGGACUAGGCGUAUACAAAAACCUGAAAAAAGCAGAGGGAACACGAGCUGGGGGCACAUUCUUCAUCUAACAACAGAGUUCCUUCCGGGUGAAAUUGCUAAUCAAAGAUAAAAGCUAUACAAACCUCUGGGCACUCAGCGGAAUUGAAGUCCUCAAAAGCACUACUCAAGUCAAAUUUACUUUACCAAAAUUAUAUUUUGGCUGCUUCCAAUGAUCACUCUCGACGUUUCGGCUCUAAGUGGUAGUCCUUUCUGUUUUCUGCACCACACCUUUUUUCACUGGACCAGCUGGAGCUAACUAAUCUUUUGAGCUAACCAUUUUUAAAGGUUUAUGGUGGGACCACUGGUCAUUCUUAUAUAUUAUCUUCGAACUUGAGCACUAGUACGGUCUCUGGCAGCCCUUUUUCUUGUGUUCCACACUAAUGGGCUAGAGAAUUCUGUUUUUCUUAUUUAUUGUGUGCAUCUAAAGGUGAUGUAGGAC